GUAGGGACCAAGCGUUGUUCGGAUUUACUGGGCGUAAAGGGCGCGUAGGCGGCGUGUUAAGUCAGCUGUGAAAUCUCCAAGCUUAACUUGGAACGGUCAGCUGAUACUGAUGUGCUAGAGUGCAGAAGGGGCAAUCGGAAUUCUUGGUGUAGCGGUGAAAUGCGUAGAUAUCAAGAGGAACACCUGAGGUGAAGACGGGUUGCUGGGCUGACACUGACGCUGAGGCGCGAAAGCUAGGGUAGCAAACGGGAUUAGAUACCCCGGUAGUUCUAGCCCUAAACGAUGAAUACUUGGUGUCUGGAGUUUAUAUCCUCCGGGUGCCGUCRCKAACGUUUUAAGUAUUCCGCCUGGGGAGUACGCACU
rnacentral:rRNA from 1 species